rnacentral:rRNA from 1 species
UGAAUAACACGUGGGCAACCUGCCUGUAAGACUGGGAUAACUCCGGGAAACCGGGGCUAAUACCGGAUAAUUCAUUCCCUCUCAUGAGGGAAUGCUGAAAGACGGUUUCGGCUGUCACUUACAGAUGGGCCCGCGGCGCAUUAGCUAGUUGGUGAGGUAACGGCUCACCAAGGCAACGAUGCGUAGCCGACCUGAGAGGGUGAUCGGCCACACUGGGACUGAGACACGGCCCAGACUCCUACGGGAGGCAGCAGUAGGGAAUCUUCCGCAAUGGACGAAAGUCUGACGGAGCAACGCCGCGUGAGCGAUGAAGGCCUUCGGGUCGUAAAGCUCUGUUGUUAGGGAAGAACAAGUAUCGGAGUAACUGCCGGUACCUUGACGGUACCUAACCAGAAAGCCACGGCUAACUACGUGCCAGCAGCCGCGGUAAUACGUAGGUGGCAAGCGUUGUCCGGAAUUAUUGGGCGUAAAGCGCGCGCAGGUGGUUCCUUAAGUCUGAUGUGAAAGCCCACGGCUCAACCGUGGAGGGUCAUGGGAAACUGGGGAACUUGAGUGCAGAAGAGGAAAGUGGAAUUCCACGUGUAGCGGUGAAAUGCGUAGAGAUGUGGAGG